rnacentral:tRNA from 1 species
GGGGAUUUAGCUCAGCGGCAUAAGCGCCUGCCUUGCAAGCAGGCAGUCCGAUCCCCG